rnacentral:tRNA from 1 species
GACGGCCUAGUCCAAUUGGCAGGAUGCCGGGCUCCAAACCCGUGCGGUCUUGGUUCGAGUCCAAGGGCCGUUGCCA